AGUGAACGUUGGCGGUAGGCCUAACACAUGCGAGUCGAACGGCAGCACAGUAAGAGCUUGCUCUUACGGGUGGCGAGUGGCGGACGGGUGAGGAAUACAUCGGAAUCUACUUUUUCGUGGGGGAUAACGUAGGGAAACUUACGCUAAUACCGCAUACGACCUACGGGUGAAAGCAGGGGAUCUUCGGACCUUGCGCGAUUGAAUGAGCCGAUGUCGGAUUAGCUAGUUGGCGGGGUAAAGGCCCACCAAGGCGACGAUCCGUAGCUGGUCUGAGAGGAUGAUCAGCCACACUGGAACUGAGACACGGUCCAGACUCCUACGGGAGGCAGCAGUGGGGAAUAUUGGACAAUGGGCGCAAGCCUGAUCCAGCCAUACCGCGUGGGUGAAGAAGGCCUUCGGGUUGUAAAGCCCUUUUGUUGGGAAAGAAAAGCAGCAGGUUAAUACCCCGCUGUUCUGACGGUACCCAAAGAAUAAGCACCGGCUAACUUCGUG
rnacentral:rRNA from 1 species